GCCGAGGUGGCGGAAUUGGCAGACGCGCACGUUUGAGGGGCGUGUGGGGUAACCCGUGGGGGUUCGAGUCCCCCCCUCGGCACCA
rnacentral:tRNA from 1 species